rnacentral:rRNA from 1 species
UAGGAAUCUUCCACAAUGGACGCAAGUCUGAUGGAGCAACGCCGCGUGAGUGAAGAAGGUUUUCGGACCGUAAAGCUCUGUUGUUGGUGAAGAAGGAUAGAGGUAGUAACUGGCCUUUAUUUGACGGUAAUCAACCAGAAAGUCACGGCUAACUACGUGCCAGCAGCCGCGGUAAUCGUAGGUGGCAAGCGUUGUCCGGAUUUAUUGGGCGUAAAGCGAGCGCAGGCGGAAGAAUAAGUCUGAUGUGAAAGCCCUCGGCUUAACCGAGGAAUUGCAUCGGAAACUGUUUUUCUUGAGUGCAGAAGAGGAGAGUAGAACUCCAUGUGUAGCGGUGGAAUGCGUAGAUAUAUGGAAGAAUACCAGUGGCGAAGGCGGCUCUCUGGUCUGCAACUGACGCUGAGGCUCGAAAGCAUGGGUAGCGAACAGGAUUAGAUACCCUGGUAGUCCAUGCCGUAAACGAUGAGUGCUAAGUGUUGGGAGGCCUCCGCCUCUCAGUGCUGCAGCUAACGCAUUAAGCACUCCGCCUGGGGGAGUACGACCGCAAGGUUGAAAC